ACAACAGCAGCUGCAAGCAUGCUACUUUCAGGAUCAAUGUCGAGUGCAGAUGGGCUAAUGAACCCAAAUUUACUAGCUAGAGCAAUCCUUCCAUGCUCAUCAAGUGUGGCAACAAUUUCAGCUUCUGCUCCAUUCCCAACUGUAACAUUAGAUCUCACCCACAACCCAAAUCCACUUCAACUCCAAAGACCUUCCAGCCAUUUCCAAGUCC
rnacentral:misc_RNA from 1 species